GAUGAACGCUGGCGGCGUGCCUAAUACAUGCAAGUCGAGCGAACAGACGAGGAGCUUGCUCCUCUGACGUUAGCGGCGGACGGGUGAGUAACACGUGGAUAACCUACCUAUAAGACUGGGAUAACUUCGGGAAACCGGAGCUAAUACCGGAUAAUAUAUUGUACCGCAUGGUUCAAUAGUGAAAGACGGUUUUGCUGUCACAUAUAGAUGGAUCCGCGUCGCAUUAGCUAGUUGGUAAGUUAACGGCUUACCAAGGCGACGAUGCGUAGCCGACCUGGGAGGGUGAUCGGCCACACUGGAACUGAGACACGGUCCAGACUCCUACGGGAGGCAGCAGUAGGGAAUCUUCCGCAAUGGGCGAAAGCCUGACGGAGCAACGCCGCGUGAGGGAUGAGGGUCUUCGGAUCGUAAAACUCUGUUAUUAGGGAAGAACAAAUGUGUAAGUAACUAUGCACGUCUUGACGGUACCUAAUCAGAAAGCCACGGCUAACUACGUG
rnacentral:rRNA from 1 species